AUUUUGGACAAUGGGGGCAACCCUGAUCCAGCCAUCCCGCGUGUGCGAUGAAGGCCUUCGGGUUGUACCGCACUUUUGGCAGGGAAGAAAAGCCGCGGGUAAAUACCCUGCGGGCCUGACGGUACCUGCAGAAAAAGCAACGCCUAACUACGUGCCAGCAGCCGCGGUAAUACGUAGGGUGCAAGCGUUAAUCGGAAUUACUGGGCGUAAAGCGUGCGCAGGCGGUUCGGCAAGAAGGAUGUGAAAUCCCAGGGCUUAACCUUGGAACUGCAUUCUUAACUGCCGGGCUAGAGUAUGUCAGAGGGGGGUAGAAUUCCGCGUGUAGCAGUGAAAUGCGUAGAGAUGCGGAGGAAUACCGAUGGCGAAGGCAGCCCCCUGGGAUAAUACUGACGCUCAUGCACGAAAGCGUGGGGAGCAAAC
rnacentral:rRNA from 1 species